UCGAGGAUCUUCGUCAAUGGACGCAAGUCUGAACGAGCGACGCCGCGUGUGCGAUGAAGGCCUUCGGGUUGUAAAGCACAAAAGUGGGGAUAAAAGCCGAAAGGUCUGAUUGAUCCACAGUAAGCUCGGGCUAAGUUCGUGCCAGCAGCCGCGGUAAGACGAACCGAGCGAACGUUGUUCGGAAUCACUGGGCUUAAAGGGCGCGUAGGCGGGCGAUCAAGUCGGUGGUGAAAUCCUACAGCUUAACUGUAGAACUGCCUCCGAUACUGGUUGUCUCGAGGAAGGUAGGGGCGUGCGGAACAGUUGGUGGAGCGGUGAAAUGCGUUGAUAUCAACUGGAACUCCGGUGGCGAAGGCGGCACGCUGGACCUUUUCUGACGCUGAGGCGCGAAAGCCAGGGGAGCAAACGG
rnacentral:rRNA from 1 species